rnacentral:rRNA from 1 species
CCUACGGGUGGCAGCAGUGAGGAAUAUUGGUCAAUGGGCGGGAGCCUGAACCAGCCAAGCCGCGUGAGGGAAGAAGGUACAGCGUAUCGUAAACCUCUUUUGUCAGGGAACAAAGGCGGGGACUAGUCCCCUGAUGAGGGUACCUGAAGAAAAAGCAUCGGCUAACUCCGUGCCAGCAGCCGCGGUAAUACGGAGGAUGCAAGCGUUGUCCGGAUUUACUGGGUGUAAAGGGCGUGCAGCCGGAGAGACAAGUCAGAUGUGAAAUCCGCGGGCUCAACCCGCGAACUGCAUUUGAAACUGUUUCCCUUGAGUAUCGGAGAGGUCAUCGGAAUUCCUAGUGUAGCGGUGAAAUGCGUAGAUAUUAGGAAGAACACCAGUGGCGAAGGCGGAUGACUGGACGACAACUGACGGUGAGGCGCGAAAGCGUGGGGAGCAAACAGGAUUAGAUACCCCUGUAGUC